GGUGGCUCAGUGGUAGAGUGCUUGCCUUGCAUGCAUGAGGCCUUAGGUUCAAUUCCUCAGCACCA
rnacentral:tRNA from 1 species